rnacentral:rRNA from 1 species
GACGAACGCUGGCGGCGUGCUUAACACAUGCAAGUCGAGCGGUAAGGCCCUUUCGGGGGUACACGAGCGGCGAACGGGUGAGUAACACGUGGGUGACCUGCCUUUAGCUCUGGGAUAAGCCUGGGAAACUGGGUCUAAUACCGGAUAUGACUCCGCGGUGCAUGCUGUGGGGUGGAAAGCCUUGUGCGGCUAGAGAUGGGCCCGCGGCCUAUCAGCUUGUUGGUGGGGUGAUGGCCUACCAAGGCGACGACGGGUAGCCGGCCUGAGAGGGCGACCGGCCACACUGGGACUGAGACACGGCCCAGACUCCUACGGGAGGCAGCAGUGGGGAAUCUUGCGCAAUGGGCGAAAGCCUGACGCAGCGACGCCGCGUGAGGGAUGACGGCCUUCGGGUUGUAAACCUCUUUCAGCCCUGACGAAGCGAAAGUGACGGUAGGGGCAGAAGAAGCACCGGCCAACUACGUGCCAGCAGCCGCCGUAACAC